rnacentral:rRNA from 1 species
UUUAUGGAGAGUUUGAUCCUGGCUCAGGAUGAACGCUGGCGGCGUGCCUAAUACAUGCAAGUCGAGCGAACAGACGAGGAGCUUGCUCCUUUGACGUUAGCGGCGGACGGGUGAGUAACACGUAGGUAACCUACCUAUAAGACUGGGAUAACUUCGGGAAACCGGAGCUAAUACCGGAUAAUAUUUCGAACCGCAUGGUUCGAUAGUGAAAGAUGGCUUUGCUAUCACUUAUAGAUGGACCUGCGCCGUAUUAGCUAGUUGGUAAGGUAACGGCUUACCAAGGCAACGAUACGUAGCCGACCUGAGAGGGUGAUCGGCCACACUGGAACUGAGACACGGUCCAGACUCCUACGGGAGGCAGCAGUAGGGAAUCUUCCGCAAUGGGCGAAAGCCUGACGGAGCAACGCCGCGUGAGUGAUGAAGGUCUUCGGAUCGUAAAACUCUGUUAUUAGGGAAGAACAAACGUGUAAGUAACUGUGCACG